AAAGAGAGUGAAAAAAAAAACACUUUAUCCUUUAGCAGAGUGACCGAUCGUAGCGCGUCAUUCGCUGUCCACUUCGUUUCAAUCUCCCAAUUUUUUUUUUGUUCAUUUGUUCUAUAGAUCUAGAUCUAUUGGUUUACAAAAGGCUCAUAAUAAUAUCAUUAAUUGGACCCUACGUCUUAUGAAAGUGAUAGGGGACAGGUUUCUUUCUUUUAAAAAGUGCAGAAACUUGUUUGUGUGUAAAUAAGAAAUAAAACUUGCAGGUGUACAGUAUAAUUAAUUACUGCCAUCUUAUUUCUUUUUCUUAUUCUGCAUGUGGAGGAGGCAUUGGAUAUGAUACCUAUGGAAUAAUAAUAUAAUCUUAUAAGAUUUCAUUAGAAUUACUCAACAUCAGUUUUUCUGUGCCGUGUUUUCACCAUUUGAAUUUUCUAAUGAUAUAUAAACGAUUGGAAAUAUCGGAGAUGCGUGUUGGUAAGAAGGUAAUACAGUGAUGACUUCAACUACGACAUAGAUUUUGAAAAUAUUUAGAAAGCAGCCCAGAAUUAACAUAUUAAACUCUACAGAAGAAGGAUUCUGUUGACACAGUGAACGUUACAGACAAGGAAAUAAAUAAGCUCUGCAGACUCGGAUUUUUUUUAUGGUUUAACAGACACGUGAUCAUCAAACAUCUAAGCCACUAAUAAGCUCAAGUAGGCUUCAAUAGAACCAAGCCUCCAUCAAGCCUCUUUCAGCCAAUCAAUCAGGGGCUGCACAGAAGUCAAAGUACUCUGACAUUGGUCUCGACAUUAUUCGACAACUGUGUAAAAAAAAAAAACGCCGUGUUGCAAAGUCACGUGACGAGGGUCUAAAUCUAGUCAGCACGUGCCCCAGCACGUUAAAAAAAAUUGAAAUAUAGUUUCAGGUCUGGGUAGCCAUUACGGAGAAUAAUUGUGAUGCUAGAGACACACUUGGUAUCUAACAUAAUUCAUUAAGGAUUUUAACUCUCGGUACUGGUGAUACAACAAUAUAUCCAGACGUCAUGUUUUUGUUUGCCUAGAGCAUGAAAUUCUAAGCUUCAGAUUUCCUUUAACCGGAAGUAUACACCAAAUUUCUAUAUUUUUUCUUUUACGACCUUCAUGUACACGACCCAAUGCCAACACAUGAGUCUACAAGCGUGCAUUCGUCUGGUCAAGUCUCAGGGAUCUAAGAAGCAAAACCUUCUCGUGACGCCUCAGAUUACUCCGCUUUAAAACUACGGAAGUUGGACGGGACUACUUUUAGCGCCGCAUCCCUAAUUUGAAAUCCUUCUUCAAGUCUUUUGAGCUUGCGCAGCAUUGUAAACUCCAGAGAAAAGAUUUCCUUUACAGAAUUAUUUAUUACAGAUAAAAGAAGAAUUUAAUAAAUAUUUAUAAAUCAUU
rnacentral:sRNA from 1 species